GGAUGUGAGGGCGAUCUGGCUGCGACAUCUGUCACCCCAUUGAUCGCCAGGGUUGAUUCGGCUGAUCUGGCUGGCUAGGCGGGUGUCCCCUUCCUCCCUCACCGCUCCAUGUGCGUCCCUCCCGAAGCUGCGCGCUCGGUCGAAGAGGACGGCCUUCCCCGAAUAGAGACGGACCGGUCUUCGGUCGAGGGUAUACGAGUAGCUGCGCUCCCCUGCUAGAACCUCCAAACAAGCUCUCAAAAGGGAUAGAAUGCUAGAUCAUGGAAGAAAAAAGCUCCCUAAUAUGGGGAAGAUGUAUAAAUAUUGUUGAUUGUGAUUU
rnacentral:snRNA from 1 species